GACGGAGGGCGCAAGCGUUGUUCGGAAUCACUGGGCGUAAAGCGUACGUAGGCGGAUUAGCAAGUCAGAAGUGAAAUCCCGGGGCUUAACCCCGGAAUUGCUUUUGAAACUGCUAGUCUAGAGGCCCGGAGAGGUCAGCGGAAUUCCGAGUGUAGAGGUGAAAUUCGCAGAUAUUCGGAGGAACACCAGUUGCGUAGGCGGCUGGCUGGACGGGCCCUGACGCUGAGGUACGAAAGCGUGGGGAUCAAACAGG
rnacentral:rRNA from 1 species